GUGAGGGAGCGGGAGUCUUCCUUAGCUUCUCCGCCAUGGGUGUCGCUUCGUAGCCGGGCUGCUCCGGGAAAGGCCUCGUACAGCAAGCUCCGAAGCAGACGUUUACCAGUUUUGCACAACUUUGUCAUGGACCAACUGGCCUUGUGGCUCAGUGGCAUCUGGAGGCAAGAGGGCCAAGUAGACAGGGGUCUCAGCCCCCUCCUCCACAGUCCUGAUGCUGUCUUUCCCAUCCAUGUCUGUCUUCACUGGUCCUGGGCAGCACGCAUUCACCAGAAUCCUGUCAGCUUUCCUCUUCUCAUCCAGACGCCUGGCCAGGAUCCUCGAUAAGACCGUGACCCCCAACUUGGACACCCCAUAAGGUGAGUUGGGCCAGCCUUCCCUCUCAUGCACCUCAUUUUUUGUGUCCUCCACAAACUUUUUCAUGAGAUCCACCAGGUCUCCUUCUGUGAGUGUCUCACUG
rnacentral:lncRNA from 1 species